rnacentral:misc_RNA from 1 species
GAUGAAGAACGCAGCGAAAUGCGAUAAGUGAUGUGAAUUGCAGAAUUCAGUGAAUCAUCGAAUCUUUGAACGCACAUUGCGCCCGCCAGUAUUCUGGCGGGCAUGCCUGUUCGAGCGUCAUUUCAACCAUCAAGCCCCGGGCUUGUGUUGGGGACCUGCGGCUGCCGCAGGCCCUGAAAUGCAGUGGCGGGCUCGCUGUCACUCCGAGCGUAGUAGUUACAUCUCGCUCUGGGCGUGCUGCGGGUUCCGGCCGUUAAAAGCCUUAUUUACCCAAGGUUGACCUCGGAUCAGGUAGGAAGACCCGCUGAACUUAAGCAUAUCAAUAAGCGGAGGA